rnacentral:rRNA from 1 species
ACGAACGCUAGCGGCGUGCUUAACACAUGCAAGUCGAACGGAAAGGCCCUGCUUGCAGGGUACUCGAGUGGCGAACGGGUGAGUAACACGUGGGUGAUCUGCCCUGCACUUCGGGAUAAGCUUGGGAAACUGGGUCUAAUACCGGAUAGGAACCAUCUUUAGUGUGGUGGUUGGAAAGUUUUUUCGGUGUAGGAUGAGCUCGCGGCCUAUCAGCUUGUUGGUGGGGUAAUGGCCUACCAAGGCGGCGACGGGUAGCCGGCCUGAGAGGGUGUACGGCCACAUUGGGACUGAGAUACGGCCCAGACUCCUACGGGAGGCAGCAGUGGGGAAUAUUGCACAAUGGGCGCAAGCCUGAUGCAGCGACGCCGCGUGGGGGAUGAAGGCCUUCGGGUUGUAAACUCCUUUCGCUAGGGACGAAGCUUUGUUGUGACGGUACCUAGAUAAGAAGCACCGGCUAACUACGUG